GACGAACGCUGGCGGCGUGCUUAACACAUGCAAGUCGAACGGAAAGGCCCUGCUUUUGUGGGGUGCUCGAGUGGCGACCGGGUGAGUAACACGUGAGUAACCUGCCCUUGACUUUGGGAUAACUUCAUGAAACUGGGGCUAAUAGCGGAUAGGAGCUCCUGCUGUAUGGUGGGGGUUGGAAAGUUUCGGCGGUUGGGGAUGGACUCGCGGCUUAUCAGCUUGUUGGUGGGGUAGUGGCUUACCAAGGCUUUGACGGGUAGCCGGCCUGAGAGGGUCACCGGACACAUUGGGACUGAGAUACGGCCCAGACUCCUACGCGACGCAGCAGAGGAGUAGAGUGCACAAUGGGAGGAGGCCUGAUCCAGCAACGCCGCGUGGGGGAUAACGGGCAUCGGGUUGUAUUCCACUUUCGCCUGUGACGAAGCGUGAGUGACGGUAAUGGGUGAAGAAGCACCGGCUAACUACGUG
rnacentral:rRNA from 1 species